rnacentral:rRNA from 1 species
AUUGAACGCUGGCGGCAGGCCUAACACAUGCAAGUCGAACGGUAACAGGAAGCAGCUUGCUGCUUUGCUGACGAGUGGCGGACGGGUGAGUAAUGUCUGGGAAACUGCCCGAUGGAGGGGGAUAACUACUGGAAACGGUAGCUAAUACCGCAUAACGUCGCAAGACCAAAGAGGGGGACCUUAGGGCCUCUUGCCAUCGGAUGUGCCCAGAUGGGAUUAGCUAGUAGGUGGGGUAACGGCUCACCUAGGCGACGAUCCCUAGCUGAUCUGAGAGGAUGACCAGCCACACUGGAACGGAGACACGGUCCAGACUCCUACGGGAGGCAGCAGUGGGGAAUAUUGCACAAUGGGCGCAAGCCUGAUGCAGCCAUGCCGCGUGUAUGAAGAAGGCCUUCGGGUUGUAAAGUACUUUCAGCGGGGAGGAAGGGAGUAAAGUUAAUACCUUUACUCAUUGACGUUACCCGCAGAAGAAGCACCGGCUAACUCCGUG